AGUGAACGCUGGCGGUAGGCCUAACACAUGCAAGUCGAACGGCAGCACAGUAAGAGCUUGCUCUUACGGGUGGCGAGUGGCGGACGGGUGAGGAAUACAUCGGAAUCUACUUUUUCGUGGGGGAUAACGUAGGGAAACUUACGCUAAUACCGCAUACGACCUACGGGUGAAAGCAGGCGAUCUUCGGACCUUGCGCGAUUGAAUGAGCCGAUGUCGGAUUAGCUAGUUGGCGGGGUAAAGGCCAACCAAGGCGACGAUCCGUAGCUGGUCUGAGAGGAUCAUCAGCUAGACUGUAUGUGAGACUCAGUCCAGACACCGACAGUGAGCAGCAGUGGAGAAUAUUGGACGAGGGGGGCGUGCCUGAUCUAGCCAUAUCGCGUAGGGCAAGAUGGACUUCUGGUUGUAGAGCGCUUUUGUUGUGAGAGUAAAACAGCAGGUUAAUACCCCGCUAUUCUGACGGUACCCAAAGAAUAAGCACCGGCUAACUUCGUG
rnacentral:rRNA from 1 species